rnacentral:rRNA from 1 species
UACGUAGGGACCAAGCGUUGUUCGGAUUUACUGGGCGUAAAGGGCUCGUAGGCGGCCAGCUAAGUCAGACGUGAAAUCCCCAGCUCAACCUGGGAACUGCGUCUGAUACUGGAUGGCUUGAAUUCGGGAGAGGGAUGCAGAAUUCCAGGUGUAGCGGUGAAAUGCGUAGAUAUCUGGAGAAUACCGGUGGCGAAGGCGGCAUCCUGGACCGACAUUGACGCUGAUGAGCGAAAGCUAGGGAGCAAC